GACGUAGGGCGCGAGCGUUGUCCGGAUUUAUUGGGCGUAAAGAGCUCGUAGGCGGCUUGUCGCGUCGUCCGUGAAAACUUGGGGCUCAACCCCAAGCUUGCGGUCGAUACGGGCAGGCUAGAGUUCGGUAGGGGAGACUGGAAUUCCUGGUGUAGCGGUGAAAUGCGCAGAUAUCGGGAGGAACACCGGUGGCGAAGGCGGAUCUCUGGGCCAUUACUGACGCUGAGGAGCGAAAGCGUGGGGAGCGAACAGG
rnacentral:rRNA from 1 species